rnacentral:lncRNA from 1 species
AGGAAAACUGUACCCACCAGUUGGCCGUGCGGCCGUGCAUUCUUUCCUUUCUUCAUUGGGGGGCAAGAGGGAGAGAACAGUGCACUCUGGGAGGUGUAGUCCCUGGACCGGGGCCAAAAGGAAUGCCACGUUGACCCAUCACCUUGGCUGCAGAUGGCCUCCCUCCUGUGAUCAGACUCUGAGCAUCUCACCUGAUACAUGCUUCAUGCUGACACUCAGGCCCAGACUUUGGUCCCACACUGAGUCCCAACUUUGACCUCAGCCUGAGACACAACCUGGUUAUUGUCCUGGUAGAGACAGUUCCCCGAAUCCAGCCUCUGCCCAAACCCUCCUCCUAGACAUGGCUGAGCCCUAAUUUUGAUACAAAAUACUUGAAUUCAUCUUCAGAUUCAGUUCUGAUCCUAUACUGAACUAACUGAACACUACCAGGGAUCUGACUCCCUGAUAUUCGCUGGCGUCUCCCUGCGUGUUCUGAACCUAUGCUGACCAGCACCAGAAGGGUUCAGAGGGGUGAUUUCUUGCCUUGGGAUGAGAGAGCAAUGUUAGGGAUGACCAGC